UGGGAAAUUUACAUGGCCGUUGGCAUCAAAGCUAGCAGCAAUAAAUUCAUAAAUUAUGGACAUAAAGUCUAUCAAUCUUGGAUGUAACAGUUUGGAUUUAUUGCACAAAGACCCCAAAAAACCCUGGAUUUCCUGGCUGGAUACCAAACCUUCUGCACACCAAAGACAUCAACCGACAGCGCAGCUACUAGCUGCAGACAAUGAACUCAUAUAUGGGACACUCCUCUCCUUCUUCACUUUGGAUCAGUGGUGGCGAAGCUUGCACAGGUAGAGCUGAAGACCAGGAGUACCUAACCACUCAGUAGGAUUUACGAAGGCCCUUGUGGAUUCUUGGCAACUCUGGAUGAUGUUUAGGGAUGAUAAUUGGCUGGAUAUGGAACACUUUUUCAACUGUAAAUGAAAAUGAUGGUUUUGUUGUUAUGGGUGAGUCCACAUUUUGAAGGUGUGGAUUAGAGAUUUGUAUCAAAAGAAGAUGCCACAACAGCUGCUAAGCACUUGACUCUUCUCUCAUGGAUACUUGUGGACUUGAGAAAAACAUGCAUUCAAAAAAGAAAUAGACGAAAGCUACAGGAGUGUGAAGCAGGAGGCCUGUGUCUUAACCUCUGAUAAUGAAGCACUGUAUUCCAAACUGUCCUCAGCCACUUCUGUGCCGUCCCACCGACUUUCCUUACAGUGGCUCAUUCAUAAAGAGCUGCAUUGUUUCAUAGCUGGAAGGUGUGAAGAGGAUAGCAGGACCAUGAUCUUUGCGGCGAAGGGACUGUAUUGCAUUGUGUUGUAUUGUAUGGGCACAGCAGGCCAGCAUCAAGAUAUACUGUCAAGACUCAGACACCAUUCUAUGCAGUGGUGUACUCCCACCUCCACCUCCACUUCUUAAUCACGUGUUUGAGCAGAUUCAACACUGAGGCCCGGGGUCCUAAGUGCUAGCCUCCACACUCCCCCCAAUGUAAACAGCGCCCUGCCCAGCCCUACGUCAGCCCAGCUGAGAGGAUUACAUGCCCCCCUGUUGUAGACAGGUUUAAUGUAGCCUCAUUAGCAGAACACAAUGAUGCCCCCACCUCUGAGCAGAGAUAACAGGCCAGGCUCAGCCAGACUUCAAACACAGACUCAAACCCACAAGCCCAGGUGGUGCAAUGUGCAGGGUGCAAAGCCAAAAGAGCAACCGGAGUACUUUUGUUUUUACAUUUGCACUGGCUUUAUCCAUUGGAUAUAAUCUAAGGGCGGAAAUGAUUGAUUGACAGAUUUCCUGUUUCUGGUGCAUUGCAAUGUGAAGAUAUGCUGUUUUUCUUUGUUUUAGAUCAUUGUCAACUGUUAGUUGGAUGUCACUUUUUGCACUUUGAACUUUAAAAAAUAAAUAAUGCUCAAACAUUGGAUCUUCAAACAUGACAAUUGAGAACAUGACUGCAAAAAAGAAUGAUUAAAAUAAGAAGUAAGAUGAAUAACUAGUGAUGACUAACUAAAUGACAAAAAAAGUCAUAAUAAAUUCAACAAACAAGUUAGAAAAGAGUGUGAAAAAAUGACUUGUAUAAGUGUGAGAACGGAGAUUAUUUAAAAUAAAUCAAUAGCAAUAAAUCAAAGUAAUUUGAAUGAUUUGGGAUUAAUAACAUAUAAAAAUAAUAUUUUUUAGACUAAACAAAUAAUUAGUUAAUCUGACAAACUAAUCAAUGCUGAAAAUAUGAAUUUGUUUCAGUACCCAACAUUUUAAAAUCCAAUUUUUAGUUAUUACUAAAGUCACUAAAUAUAGAGGUCCUAAGUUUGAUACAUUCUAGAAAAUAUUGAUCAAAUCUUCAGUCUGGCUCUUGAUCUGUACUCACACUUUUUUCUAAUUGUAUUAAAUUUGUCAAUCAUGCAGACUGGCUUAUGAGGCCAAGCUCCACUUGUUCUGAAAAACAGCACUAUUCUUUGUAAAUUAGGACUUGUAUUCUACUGAUAAGAGUCUUAUCUGAAGAAUUGAAUGAGUCUUCCAGUUCUUGUAUUGUCCAGACUGCUCAGCUUUGGAUGUUAGUGACUUCUUGCCACAGCAGGCCAUUUAUUACAUCCCUGGUUUUUUUCGGACAUGAAGUUCCCCUACAGUAUACGUGUGACCUUGAUCCAACACAACCAGACACACACGUCUCUCCUCAGCAGACAGCAGAAAAGACGCCUACAUUUAGCUGUAAUUAGCCUUAAUUAUUAAAUGGAACUAGACUGAGACCUGUGAGACACCAUGAGAUCUGUGUCUGUCUUUAAAUGGCUCAUUCAAGACAACAGAUAACCAAAACAAUAUGGCCUGCUCUGCUCCAGCAGAAUGUUUAAUUAAAUAGUGUGAACUGGUGAGACUCAGACAUUAGAUUAUUUGGAGCAGAAACCAGAGAUAAAAUGCUUGUCCUAAAACAGACUAACAACCCUUUUUAGCCAAAGUGAAUGGCUGAUUUCUUAAUUGUAAUUGAUGGAGAAAAUGCUUGAUUUGAUUUGUAUUUGUUUUCUGCAGCCACACAUCAGAUCAGAGUUGAUGUUUAUGCUCACUCUUUUACUUGUCUGAGACCUGAUAGAAAUUCAAAAGGAUCUGUUGCUUUGAAGAUAAGCGCUGUAGUUCUGCCAUAAACAAUGAUUGUGCUGUUU